GGUGAACGCUGGCGGCGUGCUUAAGACAUGCAAGUCGAACGCAGUCUUCGGACUGAGUGGCGCACGGGUGAGUAACACGUAACUGACCUACCCCCAAGUCGCGAAUAACCAGCCGAAAGGCUGGCUAAUACGUGAUGUGAUGAUCCGCUGUGGCGGAGCAUUAAAGACUUGAUCGCUUGGGGAUGGGGUUGAGUUCCAUCAGCUAGUUGGUAAGGUAAGGGCUUACCAAGGCAACGACGGAUAGCCGGCGUGGGAGGGUGGCGGGCCACAGGGGGACAAAGAAACGGGUCCCACUCCUACGGGAGGCAGCAGUUAGGAAUCUUCCACAAUGGGCGCAAGCCUGAUGGAGCGACGCCGCGUGAGGGAUGAAGGUUCUCGGAUCGUAAACCUCUGAACCAACGACGAAAGACCCGACAAGGGGGAUGACGGUAGUUGGGUAAUAGCACCGGCUAACUCCGUGCCAGCCGCCGCCGUAACAC
rnacentral:rRNA from 1 species